rnacentral:rRNA from 1 species
UACGUAGGCAGCAAGCGUUGUUCGGAAUUACUGGGCGUAAAGAGUGUGUAGGCGGUGCUCUAAGUUCGGUGUGAAAUCUCCUGGCUCAACUGGGAGGGUGCGCCGGAAACUGGGGUGCUGGAGCGCGGGAGAGGAAAGCGGAAUUCCUGGUGUAGCGGUGAAAUGCGUAGGUAUCAGGAGGAACACCGGCGGUGUAGACGGCUUUCUGGACCGUAGCUGACGCUGAGACACGAAAGCGUGGGUAGCAAACAGG